rnacentral:rRNA from 1 species
AGAGUUUGAUCCUGGCUCAGAGCGAACGCUGGCGGCAGGCCUAACACAUGCAAGUCGAACGGAUCCUUCGGGAUUAGUGGCGGACGGGUGAGUAACACGUGGGAACGUGCCCUUUGGUUCGGAACAACUCAGGGAAACUUGAGCUAAUACCGGAUGUGCCCUUCGGGGGAAGGGUUUAUCGCCAUUGGAGCGGCCCGCGUCUGAUUAGCUAGUUGGUGGGGUAAAGGCCCACCAAGGCGACGAUCAGUAGCUGGUCUGAGAGGAUGAUCAGCCACAUUGGGACUGAGGCACGGCCCAAACUCCUACGGGAGGCAGCAGUGGGGAAUCUUGCGCAAUGGGCGAAAGCCUGACGCAGCCAUGCCGCGUGAACGAUGAAGGUCUUAGGAUUGUAAAAUUCUUUCACCGGGGACGAUAAUGACGGUACUCGGAGAAGAAGCCCCGGCUAACUUCGUGCCAGCAGCCGCGGUAAUACGAAGGGGGCUAGCGUUGCUCGGAAUUACUGGGCGUAAAGGGAGCGUAGGCGGACUGUUAAGUUAGAGGUGAAAGCCCAGGGCUCAACCUUGGAAUUGCCUUUGAUACUGGCAGUCUUGAGUACGGAAGAGGUAUGUGGAACUCCGAGUGUAGAGGUGAAAUUCGUAGAUAUUCGGAAGAACACCAGUGGCGAAGGCGACAUACUGGUCCGUUACUGACGCUGAGGCUCGAAAGCGUGGGGAGCAAACAGGAUUAGAUACCCUGGUAGUCCACGCCGUAAACGAUGAGUGCUAGUUGUCG